rnacentral:rRNA from 1 species
UACGGAGGUGGCAAGCGUUACUCGGAAUUAUUGGGUGUAAAGGGCAAGUAGGCGGCUUAAUAAGCGAGGGGUGAAAUCUUCCGACUUAAUCGGAAAACUGCCUUUCGAACUGUUAAACUUGAGGCAAGCAGAGGGAAAUGGAAUUCCCGGUGUAAGGGUGAAAUCUGUAGAUAUCGGGAAGAACACCAACGGCGAAGGCAAUUUCCUGGGCUUGUCCUGACGCUAAAUUGCGAAAGCUAGGGGAGCAAACAGAAUUAGAUACUCUGGUAGUCCUAGCCGUAAACGAUGAGUACUAGGUGUCGGAUCGCAAGAUUCGGUGCCGCAGCUAACGCAUUAAGUACUCCACCUGGGGACUACGGUCGCAAGGCUAAA